ensembl:lncRNA
CAUGAAGGAGUGAGACGGAGGAGCAUUAUGAUACGAUGUUGAUCAGACUAACUGGGCUGCAAUCUAUCUCUCUACUGGCCUGGCUGAUCACACUAACAAACAGUGUGGAGAUCAUAGAUCCAGGCCAGGUGAUGUAUGUUGACUCAGGUCUGGAUGGAGUGGUGGGUAAAGCCGUGAUCCUGGAGUGUGGAUCAACCAGACCCGAUGUUUACAUCUGGGGGUUCACACAACCUGGAACCGACGCCAUCAAAGCUGUGGUCUACGACUUUGGAAAAGGCCCUAAGCUGCAGAAGCUGGCCCAGAGUCU